UCAUUUGUCUUUUCUUAUCCCUUUAGCCUCCUUCGUUAAUUAAAGUCAUGCAUUUCUCACGUACCAAUACCAUCUCUCUCUCUCACACACAAACACGACAACAUCAAUAUUACUACUAGUAUUUUCUUCAUAAUAGGGUAACUAAAACGUACGUGGAGGCUAGUGAUGCACAACAGGUCAGUCUGGUCUAAGUUUAUCAGGCUUUAACCGUUGAUCAGGUCAAAUCAGACCUUGACUUUUUAACUACAUGCCGGAUCAAGUUUUGAACAAAAAAAUGUGACUUGUUAAGGCCUACAGGCCAGGCCGAGCCAGACCUCAUUAGUCCCACGUAAGCCCAUUGCUCUUUGCUUAGAAUUUUAACUCAGCUUUUCUCCUCCAUUUAUUAAAAAAAGGCGGGGCAAAAAACCUUGUACUAUGUGGGACUAGCCAGGUUUAGCCAAACCUCCAUUUAUAGAAAGGCAGGCACAAAAUACAUUUUAUUAGACCAAGUGGGACAAUGCUAUGCUUAGCCAAACCCAACAAGCUCAAG
rnacentral:lncRNA from 1 species